CCUGGUAAAAAAAAAAAGUCCAUCAGCCUCUGUUUAAACUGAGCUGUCAAAUUAUAACAAAAAUGCUCCUUGAAACUCCCCAUCUGGACUGUGUUGGACUUAACUAAAUAUGGGGUUUCCUUAUCCAGUAAAGAAAGUCCAGGACGAGCCCCUACAGCCCAGAGACCCCAGUUCAGGGUCCCAGUCCAAGAUGAGCCCCUACGGCCCAGACCCCAGUUCAUGGUCCCAGUCCAAGAUGAGCCCCUACAGCUAAGAAACCCCACUUCAGGGUCCCAGACCAAGAUGAGCCCCUACAGCCCAGAGACCCCAGUUCAAGGUCCCAGUCUGGGACGACCCCUGACACCCAGGAGACCCCAGUUCAGGGUCCCAGUCCAGAGAUUAUUGCUAGUAUACGGCAAGACACUAUUAAUGUCCAUCUGCCAGGCUUGUAAAAUGCCCACCGUGAAAUGGUUUACUUGUGUUUUUUUUUUUUAUCUCCACAGAGUGUCCAGGAGAACAAAUCGCCAGGGGGGCAGUACCGGCGAGACCGGACAACAACCACGUCCACAAGAAACAUGAGCGACAGAAGGCGAAGCGUUUCAAAGAAGGAGGAAAAACACUGAAAAAAAAAAAACGGAGUUGAGGAGAGCCGGAGACGGAGAGGAAGCAGAAAGUUUUCCAGGCGCGUCGGGGUGGCGGUUCGGCGCUCGUCCGGAGCUCCGGGAAAGGAACGCGGAAAGAAACGCAAAAGCAAAACGGAGGAGAGAGAGAAAGCGGAGCAGCAGGAGCAGCAGCAGCCCCGAACCGGGUCCCCGUCCCUUCCCUGACCCCGACGCGGAGCUGUAGCGGCGGGGAGACCGAGCGGCACCCCCACACCGCCCGCGGCGCGGCGAGAUGGCCGGGGCGCGACCGGGAGUUCACGCUCUGCAGCUCAAGCCGGUCUCGGUGCACGAAACUCUGAGGAAAGGGAGCAAGUUCAUCAAGUGGGAAGAGGAACCUCCCAGCAGAAUCCUGAUCACCCUGAAGGUUGACCCCGAUGGCUUCUUCCUGUACUGGACGGGUCCCAACAUGGAGGUGGAGGUGCUGGACAUCUGCCAGAUCAGGGACACCAGGACGGGGAAAUACGCGAAAGUCCCCAAGGACCCGAAGGUACGAGAGCACCUGGGCUGGAAGACGGAGGACCAGAUCGAGAACAAGCUGCUGACUGUUGUGCACGGGACGGACCUGGUCAACAUCAGCUUCCUGAACUUCGAGGCCGUGCAGGAGGACACUGCCAAGGUGUGGACCGAGGAGCUGUUCAAGCUGGCCACGAACAUCUUGGCGCACAAUACCUCCCGCAAUAAGUU
rnacentral:lncRNA from 1 species